rnacentral:rRNA from 1 species
GGAUAGCGGAUGGAAACAUCCGAUAAUACCGAAUACUUAUUAUUUUUGCAUGAAAGUAAUAUAAAAGGAAGCGUUUGCUUCGCUAAAAGAUCGGAGUGCGCAACAUUAGCUAGUUGGUGAGGUAACGGCCCACCAAGGCGAUGAUGUUUAGCGGGGUUGAGAGAUUGAUCCGCCACACUGGGACUGAGAUACGGCCCAGACUCCUACGGGAGGCAGCAGUAGGGAAUAUUCCACAAUGGACGAAAGUCUGAUGGAGCGACACAGCGUGCAGGAUGAAGGCCCUAUGGGUUGUAAACUGCUGUGGUUAGGGAAGAAAAAGUAGCAUAGGAAAUGAUGCUCCUUUGACGG